CUAGCUGGCGUUGGUUUGGAGUAGCGAGCAGAGCGAAAAUGGCGUAGGGCGGAGGAGACGAGGAGACCUUCUUCUCCUCUCUGCGGUGGGUAGGAGGAGAAGGAGGUGGAGAGAAGGAGGGGGACCCGGGGAGCCGUCGGUUUUACGGUUUACCGUUUAACUAAAUGUGUCGCGCACCCUCGCGUGCCCUCUUUACAGAACAAACCCAGCGUGUGUCCAGUUUGGCAGAGCUUAAGGAGGAAGAGCCUCCUCUUCCUCCUCCUCCUGGCUUUUGUUUACCAUUACCACAGCCGAAACAUCUCUGCAGCAUUUCGGACCAGCAGCAAGGCUGGCUGUUCCAGUUGUCAUGAAACCAGAUGAAGCCCAGACUGGAGGAACAUCAGCUCCAGCUCCAUCUACAGGUGACUCGCACCACAACCCACAUCUGUGGAGGUAAAGAAUGAACAGUCAGUGACAAGAUGACCUCUUUUGGGGUUUGGGGACACUGGCGUCCUCCUUCCUGCUGUGUCUGGGACGUCGGUCCUCUCUCCUCCACAGCAUCUCCACCCUCUUGUCCUGGCCUGUUUCUGCAGCACGGUCGUCACUGAGGACGUCUGCCAAGGUUUUGGGCCAGUCAUAUUUCCGUCACGCACACGCGACAUCUACAUGUAGUCUAUAGCUGGCUUUAAAACACAUGGAGUCUCAUUAUUUGUCUGAAAGUCUCCAUGAUUUGGGCAUUUUCAGUCAGAUUGGGGUUAAAUUUUGUCUGUUAUCAGGUUGCAUGUAAAUGUAGAAGCAAAAUGGAACUUUGUAUUGAGAUCAAAGCCGUUUUAAAAAUGAACAAAUCAGCUGCUUCGCUUUUUUUCUUUUUCUGAAGACACAAGAUACUGUAGCAAAGAUCAACGCCUGUGAUUAAAUUAGACUCAUGGGGUUUGUUUUCAUCUUUUGCACUACCUCAGUGCCAUGACAAGUCCAACCAGAGUGAAGCAGCACAGUAGUUUUCAAUAGAUUUGGUUUUAAGUGUUAAUAAGUGAGGUCGCCGUCGGGUGAACAUCGAAAAAAACCAAGAAACGACACAAGCACAUGAUGCACACGGUCACAUACUUUUAGAAACACUUUAACUGUUGGCUCCUAUGCAUCUGUUCUAAAGGAAGGUCACGUGUUAGUAUUUUUACUCAUUUUGGGUUUGUAGUGCUCGGUUUCUGUCAGAUCUGCAGGUUUAUUCACACACUGCAAGUAGAGACAUGACUGGUGAUAGAUUUCCCAUAGAUACUCGAGUCCAGAGAUCCUACAAAAAUGGCCUGUUUAGUGUUUAAACUUUGUCCUUUUUUACACAAGUUAAAUCCAACAUAUGUUCUAAAUGCAUCAUUUUCAUGCCGUAGCGUUUUGGCCUGAUUUUCACCUUCAUUUGUCCAUGUUUUAUUGCUGUAAAAAAGAUGUUGUUUUGAAUCAGACUUAACCAUUUUGAUUCCAUUUAUUCCAUGAACCGUGACAAAUUAAUCCAGACAUUAUGUAAACAUUAUGUCCGGAAUUAUAAUGUUUUAUAAGCAUUUCACCCAUGCUUUCCACACGUCAGUAGUGGGCAACACUUAUCUGUGCCCGGGGAGCAAUGUGGGGUUGGGUAGCCUUUGACCUGUCUCGGCUACAAGCCCAAUUCCCUGCCCACAAUUGUCCAGUGUGUCCAGUACAUUGAGAGACACUCGUGCUGACAUAGCACUUGAUUUCUUUUCUCACAUCUGAAAAAACCCUGAUCUCACUUUUUUCGCAUUUCUUUGUGAUUUCUUUAAAAUAUAAAUAUAAAGAUAGAAAUAUCAAAUUUUUCCGGGAUUUGUGCAAUAUUGGAUCCUAACUGUCAUGUUGUUGACCAAACUGUAUAUUGUAUAAACAAGUGACAAGUUGUUUGAAAGCAACAAAAUCACCAAUGUCUUCCAUUAAGAUAUGUAUAGACUCAUGUGCAUAAGCUUAUUUAGCGGGACUGGCGUUAUAGUAGCCAUGCAUGACCAGUAGUGACGCUUGCUUUAAGAAGAAUAGUGAAAUCCAUUUCUAGACUAAGGUGGAGCUCAAAACUGCGGCGGAAAAAUGGUAGUGGCACAUGCUGAGGUGCUUAAUCUUUAAAAGGGGAACUAAACCUUGAAAAUAAUGCUGCGUUUCCAUCAAACGGUAUCAUUCGGUUUGGAAUGGUAAAGGUAGCGUGACCUUGAACGCAACACAACUUUUAAACGUUUCUUAGUGUUAUUUAAAAAUGCCCCGACUGCCAUGGCAUGUCUACGCCGGUCACAAGGGCGUGGCCUUUUUUUCUUUCUGUCGCCCAAUUAGCUGACUGUUGUGGGUGGAGCCAGUCUAGCUCCACCCUGACUGUACCUAGCAUUUUACUCUGGUAACCCAAGGGAAAGGUGCCAAAAAAUUGAGCAGUAGGGGCUGGUUACCAAAAAAAAAAAUUGGUUCCAAACUUGACUGUUCCACUUGAUGGAAACAAAUGCUGAAAAUAGUGGUUUAGUUACACUUUAAAUACAGCACAUAUAGAUGCAGCUUUGUCCUAAAAUCUUUCAGUAAUGCAAGACACAUUCUUUGUUCCAUGUCUAGGUUUGGUAACUGAAAUGCAACUUUAAGUAUAACACAAUCAGCAUAUGCAAUUAUUAAAUGGAUGGAUUUUAGUCGUUUUACACAGGAUUAUAUGCUCAGUGUAAGUUUGUCUUGCAUGUUUUUAGGGUUCCUAUCUUUAGAAAACCUCCUAAAAUAUAUUCAUGCACUCUUUAAAUGUCGAAAGAAUUAGGUUAUCUUUAAGUGACGGCCAAAUGGCUCAUUGAAAUAAGUCUCAGAUGUGACAAUGAAGGAAGACCUUGGUUCUGAUUGGCCUGGACUUGAUGGGGAGUGUUGGUCCCAGAUUGAGGAUCUCAUCAUGACAUCAUAUUGUACAUAAUACCUCAUAGUUUCUGGAUUCAGAGCAUCAUAUUUUUUAAUCCAUAAAAUUGUAUUUGAUUAGAAGUUUUAGAAGCAAUAACGUACAAUAAUGCAUGAGUUUAUUGCCAGGGUGUACAUUUUAAGAGAAUUCUGUAGCGUCACGUGGAGAAGGAACUCCUCCUCUUUCUCUUUUAUGCUUACCGUAGCUCUCAAUCCAUAUGUUAGUCACUUUUCUGAGCGAGGAAACAGCAUCACUAUUGAAGGUUUGGGAUUAUUCCUGCAGAGCUAGGUGAAAUGCGAGUACUGUUGUAGCAUAAAGGGAUCACACUGACAAAUUUAGAUAAAAACAUAUAUUUUUCAGAGGCUAUUUUCCCUGUCUGGUAUUUUUUUCAACAUGACUAAAAUAACCUAAACCAGUCAAUACAUGAGAGAUGCUUUAAAUUUUCAAUUGUAGCAUUUUACUUCCAUAAACCAAACGACUCCUUUUAGGAAAGUAGAUUUUCAGUAGCUGUAGCUGUAACAUACUCACUGAAUGAACUUGAAAAGCACUUUCUCUCCAUGUACUGACGUCCAUCAUCAUCAUCAUCAUCAUCAUCAUCGUCACCACCACCCUGUCUUGAAUACUGUAUACUUAAAAAAACCCUGUAAUGCCCUUUGUGGGGAUUUAUAAUCACAACUUAUAAGCAAGUAGGCGACUAGCAACAUGAAUAAUGUGGGUUUAAAAAUAUGCAUGACUUAGCAGAAUAAUGAAUGAUUUGUAUUGCAUGCAAUAAAACCAGCUUUGUAAUGUGAAUGGGUGUAAUUAGGAUAUUGAAAUAUUCUGAUCAGAUGUCCUGUGAUAAGGUGACAGAGUAGUUUUGAUCAUCAAUUGUGGUUUUUACAGACUUAACAUUGCCCAAAAAAACCAACAAAUAAUGGAGAGUAUUUUAAGUGUUUUUCUUCUGUUAAUUCUCUGCUGUGUCAAAUAUCACUAUGGCAGCGCAACAACAUGUUUGUUUCUGUGAAGAAAAAAAAAAUGAAAUAUAAGUCUAGGUAAAAAGAUAAAUGACAUUGCUUUGUUGAUCAACUUUUCCACUGAGGGAUGGACUGUGUAGAAACUAUGCACUCGAGACAGAGGAAGUGUGCAUGCUUAUUAUGUGUGAGCCUCUUGUCUGGUUUUGUAUUAACUUUAAAAAAAAAAAAAAUCUGUAUCAGAAAUUCAGCAAUAAAAUGCAGCAUGGUGCCAAUUGGA